rnacentral:tRNA from 1 species
UCCCUGGUGGCUCAGAGGUAAAGAAUCUGCCUGCAAUGCAGGAGAUGCAGGUUCGAUCCCUGGGUUGGGAA